rnacentral:lncRNA from 10 species
AAAAUACUAAAAGUGAAGAAUUGAAGCUGGAAGAGAAAGAAAUGUGCUGCAAAAGGUGCUACUUCAUUAAAGGAAGAAGUGGAAUCUCAGGCUGGAAUUGCCCCCAACCAUUCCCUGGUGAGAUGAAUCAAGCUUCCCACUGAGGACGACAGGCUCCAGCACACACGCUUCUCCAAAUAAAGUCUAGUCCAUGUGUUGAGCAGAGCGAGGAAGCUGUGCUGUGGACCACAGACCUGCCCUUCCAGAACCAGAAGCAGCAAUUACCCACCAAGGCAAGACCAGGGUUUGAGCCCAGCUCUCUAAUGGUAACUAUGAGACUUUGGACAACUUAUCUCUCUGAAGACUCAGCUUUCUUUUUUGACCAGCAGGGAUAAUGCUGUCCACUCUGCCUGCCUCGUAGAAUGGUGUGAAGCAAACCAGGUAAUAGAUGUCAAUGUGCUUUGUAAACUGCAAAGCCCCAUAUAAACGCGAGCCAUCUUGCCUGGC